rnacentral:lncRNA from 1 species
UUUUUUUUUGUUUCCCAUAACUGUUUCUAGUCUCAUGAACAUGAACUUUGGCUUGGGAAUCGUCAUAGCAGCGCUUGUGACAGUAUUAAGGCGAGUAAAAAGGACUAGCACACAGAGACAGAGCGAAUCAACACUGGGGGAAACACGGACCAAUUCUCAAUUGGAUAAAAUGUUUUUUUAGGCUGCAAUUGGAUAAAAAAUAUUAAAAGCAUAUAAGUAUCACUUGUAACCACUUGUAAACAUUGAUGCCAGACGCGGCCAUGCCAUGCCAUGCCCAAUUCUCUGCAAAUCACCCCAUCAAGGAAUCAACCAUAGAUAUUGACUGCGCAAAUCAUUUGUGAAAAUUGCAUGCUUUAUAUUACAUCCCAUGGCAACUAGAUUUCAGCAGAAAACUGCACCUCAAUCAUGCUUGAUCUUGUCCUCAGUUUUGAGGCGUGUAUACUCUACAGUCUACAGAAGGUAAUAAUGCUGGAAACGGUAAUAGUGCUGCUUGUAUAUCCCUCCUUGGGCCUAUUUUCGAGUAAUGCUGGGCCGAGCCAGGACCCAGCGCUACUUGCCGGCCCAACGACAAAAAAAAAAAACCGUUUUUGCCUUGCAAAAAGAACGGAUCAUCCGAAGAAGACCCAUCAGGUGAGCACUGUGCCACUGUCGUCGUGGUCUCGUGGCCGCAGCCACGAGAUCAUCAGGCAAGACCCAUCACAGCUCAAGAACAAGUGUGACCACUGCUAGGUUGCUAGGGAAUGCAUCGUACUUGGUCACUUUGGACCACCGCUUGCGGCUGCGCGGAGAGCCGGAGUGACAAGCGUGCCAGUGGUGGUGCCUAAACAGCUAACCACACUCCAGUCGGCUUCAUUCCUGCGCCUUGGUAUGGUUGAUCACUUGAUCCAGCUCGAGUCCUCGCGCAGGCGCACCAUGGCAGCGGAACCAACCAGCGAACCAUACACGACUAGGUGGUUGGUGGUUAGGAAUGGCAAUGGGUGGGAUGAGGUGCGGGUGGAGUAAAAAUCCGCCCUCAACAAGAUCCGCAACAAUUGGUCACCCCCUCGGAUAGAUCCACAGGUAAAAUGUCAUACCCGCACCUACACCUGUGGGUCACCCUCAGGUUUCGGAUCGCCUGUGGGUGCGACAUACAAUAUAUAUCAAUAUGAUCAUACGAUAUCAAGCAAUAUAUAUCAUCUCAAUAAAAACAAUAAGAAUAGUUCAGGAAACUAAACUUUCAUCUUUAAAUACAAUACAUCACAUGAUAAUCACCUCCGUGUACAGGAGGCUAGGAGCUGAUGCACGUGGCCUACGCGACAUGCCUAGGAGGUUGGGAAUUUAUGGCGACAUGGACAAGGGAAGGGAGAGGGACUGAGGGGAGGGGAGUGACCGAAUGAGUGAUUGUGUAGUCUAAGGUUCCAGUUAAGCUGGAUCGAAUUCAUGGUACAAAGGGUCAUGUGUCAUGAAAUAUUAUCUACCUUUUUAUAAUAAUCCUACUAAGCAUCCACGGGUGAAAAUUUACACCCACUUCUAACCCAUCUUAAUACAAAUCGGGUCGGAUCUAAAAAAUUUCACGUGUGAAACCCGCGGACGCCGGCACCAUGGUUCCAACUCCCCUCCCUAUCCUACAUGGGUGCGUGGCUCGGUGGCUGCGUGCUCGCCGCCGGCCUGCACGGGCCCCACCAGAUUGGUACGGUCCACGUGGCUCCCCUUGGACCGUUCCUACCCUAUAUAGCAGCAGCCUCACGCCCGCACCACAGGCUACUUCCACGGCAGCACUCCCGAGCCACACCUCCCGCGCACGCCACCGGCCACACAGGCAGUCACCACCGCGCCGCCGCCGACGAUGACGGCCGGCCAGCCGCUCCACACCGACCCGCCCCAGCCCCAGCGGGCGCGGCACCACAGCGGCGGCCCGCCGGCGGCGCUGGACGCGGGCGUCGUGCCGUCGCACCCUCCGCCCGAGUCCGACGGCGACGAGUCCUGGGUGUGGUCCCAGAUCAAGGCCGAGGCCCGGCGCGACGCGGACGCCGAGCCGGCGCUGGCGUCGUUCCUCUACGCCACCGUGCUGUCCCACCCGUCCCUCGACCGCUCCCUCGCCUUCCACCUCGCCAACAAGCUCUGCUCCUCCACGCUGCUCUCCACGCUCCUGUACGACCUCUUCGUCGCCUCGCUCGCCGCGCACCCGUCCAUCCGCGCCGCCGCCGUCGCUGACCUCAUCGCCGCGCGGUCCAGGGACCCGGCCUGCGCGGGCUUCGCGCACUGCCUCCUCAACUACAAGGGUUUUCUCGCCGUGCAGGCGCACCGCGUCGCGCACGUCUUGUGGGCUCAGAGCCGCCGCGCGCUGGCGCUCGCGCUCCAGUCCCGCGUCGCCGAGGUCUUCGCCGUCGACAUCCACCCGGCCGCGGCGAUCGGGAAGGGCAUCCUGCUGGACCACGCCACGGGCGUCGUCAUCGGCGAGACCGCCAUCGUGGGCGACAACGUCUCCAUCCUCCACCACGUGACGCUGGGCGGGACGGGGAAGGCGGUGGGCGACCGGCACCCCAAGAUCGGGGACGGCGUGCUCAUCGGUGCCGGCGCCACCAUCCUGGGCAACGUGAGGAUCGGGGCCGGGGCCAAGGUCGGCGCCGGGUCGGUGGUGCUCAUCGACGUGCCGCCCAGGAGCACCGCGGUGGGGAACCCAGCGAGGCUGAUCGGCGGGAAGAAGGGCGAGGACGUCAUGCCCGGGGAGUCCAUGGACCACACCUCCUUCAUACAGCAGUGGUCCGACUACAUCAUUUGAGUUGAGCCCUCCGUCGAGCUGCAGAAGACCUCGUCUUGCUUGCUAGUGAUUUCGUUGUCUGUGUGUGCUUGCGUUAGUUGUAAACUUGUAAUGGUGCAGAAUAGCACUGUCUUUGUCUGUGUGCCUGUGUUGUCUUGCUCGUCUCUGGGGCCUGGAGUCCGGAUGGAUGUGGUGAAGUUCACUCUGUAAUUUUCGAAGCAGAUGAGCAAUGCUACUUUUUGCGAGACAAAACUGUUUGCUUUGGUUAUCAUCUCCAGAGAACAACCAGUACAAAUGCAAAAAAAAAAAAAGACAGCUUCUGAACUUGCCCACCAUUGCAUGAUUGCAGCUAUGCUCAAAUCAUCAUCCGGACGGCUUGUCAGGCCUCGUUCAUGUUCAUGCUCGGGACGGGGAACAUUUCCUGUCCGGCCUUCGCACGCCGUGCACGAGAAAACACCCGGAAAACACGACCACAAUAAUCGAAUGGACGAGGCGACAGUCAGAAAAGAAAAGAACAGCCAUAUCCCUCCGCUCUGUUCAGGUAUCGGCUGCGAAAAGAUAUGAUGCUGUCCUGUCUUGUCACUUACUCCUACAUGACGCAGUCCUUGCAGAUGAUAUCACGCGUUGGCUCAUAUAUUUUUUUUUUCUGGACGAAAUUAAUCUGUGCAUAUCCUUUUGCACGCCUUGAUGCGGUCUUUAUCGUCCGCGUUACAGAGCUGUAUCCUAGUACUGUUCGUGAAGCACAUGGUUUUAGAUAUUCUUUCCCGUGUGGGGAUCGCCGGAUCGCAACGGGAUCUCUUGCGUGUUGACACGCGGCGAGCCACUUGAGCUAAUUGCGGUUAUUUCUGUGAUAACAGCUAAUUACGGUUCUUGGAUCUUGGUUUGGAGGUAGGGCACGCCUCGUCGCAAUGGAUUGCCAACUUGAUGCAACGCGGCGACCUCCCAGGCCUUAUUCUUUUGCUUGCUGGGAGCAGAAUAAGGAGGCGAACAUGGCUUUGGCUUGCAAUGUUUGUUCUCUGCGGCUCUCUGAGAAGCUGUUGAGUGGCACAGGAUCGCGAAGGAGAAUUAAACUAGUACAGAUGCCAGGGUUGCAACUGCAAGCUUCAGGAUGGAUAGCUGUUGCUAUUAUGUUAGCAGCAGUCUAGUAUAUGCUUCCUCGAUAUCAAAUUAGUAUUUAUUUUAACUUUUUUAAUACAUAUGCACAUAGAUAUGUACUUAUAUUCCUGAAACGAAUAAUAAUUUAGUAGGAGGGAGUACUGAUUCGGUCGACGAUGGCAGGAUGCCCGAAAACAACUCGUGCUAAUAAUCAAUGAGUUGGGACGCUACAGAAAGGAUAGCUGUCCAAGCCUCCUUACACAAAAAACCCUAUACAACAAAUAAAAAACAGACAAGUCCUUAGAAUCUUAUGUGCUUGCCAAGAGCGCUGUCCCGCGCCCACCUCCGUCGUCGCCGAGGCCACCACCGGAGCAAGAAUAGGACGGCGAGUACACAAAAGCCAGAGGAAGCACCAUCGCACAAAGGCUUUGAUUCAAGCCGCAGUAGAAAGGAACCAUGGAGGGAGCAUCGCCCGGGGACACACCCCAUGCUUCCCUGACCAUGGACCUGCACCCAUCGCCGGCGAGCAGCAAGGCAAAGGUCCAUCCACCGCAUAACCUCAAACCCACCAGCCACCGGUCCCUGUAUCGAGCCACCCGCACCGCAACCAUACCUGGUCGAAAGCGCCGAGCAGCAGUCUCCUACACGGGAGCCACCAGGACCCAGAGAAUACCCACUGCUGGCGAGUACUCCAUAUCCCGACACCUCCGACCUCAAAAGCCCGUCACCGGCACCGGGGCACGAGCCGCUGAAGUGGAGGAAGGGCCAAAGGAAUUUAUUCCAUAAGGCCAGCGCCGUCUCCACCAUACGCACGCCGUCAGGAAAGACAAACCCCAGUUUCUUCACAUUGCAGAUGCCAUCGAAGGUGAAGCAUUCACCAUGGAAGACACCGGGUGACCACAAAUCCACUAUCUACCAAGAUUAGGAAGAAAUAUGGGUGCCCUGUUUGGUUACUCUUGCUAAAGUUUAGCAACUAAAACUAUCUAAACUUUAGGUGGUGUUUAGAUCCAAAGUUGAUGGGCUAAAGUUUAGCCCCUAAAUUUUAGUCCUUAUGGGGUGUUUGGAUGCAAGAGCUAAAAGUAGUCUUCCUUAGCUAAAGAUUGAUUUGCCCUCAUUUAUUGAUUCAAACAACAUUCAUGUCUCAAAUUCAUUUUUAUUGACUCCAUCCACAUGCACAUGCAUAUGCACAUGCACGCACAGUACCCCACUUCCUCUGGCCAUGCACAGGCACAUGCACGCCCAGGCCUUCCUCCGGCCAUGCACAGGUGCUGGCCAGGAACAGGCGCCGGCCAGGAGGAAUACGCUGUUGUUCCUCCUGGACAUUGAAUAGUUUUUAUUCGUACAAUUACAUCAUCGUUGAAACAUACAAUUCAAAUACUCUACGAUCAACUACAAGAAAUAAAAUACUCUACGAUCUAUUAUACAAACUUGAGGCUAUUUGAUCACGGAAUGCAUUCAUAUUUGUAUCUUCGUCCCUUGAUUGAGUAUUUUGCUGUGGGGGUUGAGAGGUUGAUGCUUCAUGAGGAACAUAGUUCUCAUCACGGUCACAACGAUCAAAGUCCUCAUCCUCCAUAUGACUCUCUCUAAUAAAGUUAUGAAGUGCCAUACAUGCAACAAUUAUCUAACUUUGCUUUGGCAUUGGAUAACUAGGCACUUUCAAUAAAAUCCGCCACUUCAUCUUAAGAACUCCAAAUGACCUCUCCACACAAUUCCUAAGAGAUGAAUGAGCAAAGUUAAAGGUCUCUUUCAUACCUUUGGGCAUCGGUCCCUGUCUGAACUCUGGAAGAUGGUACUUCGUUCCCUUGUAAGGUGCAAGGUAACCAGGCCGAUUGGGGUAUCCAGAGUCCACUAGGUAAAACUUCCCUGCAAAUACGAACAUUCUUGUUACAAACAAAAGCUACAACCGAAGUGGUUUACUUACUGAAUGUGCAAACAUAGGCAUAACAUACCAGGAGGGGGAUGUGGGAACAUGUCUUUGUACUUGUCUGUUGCAUCAUUGAAUACCCUCAUGUCAUGUACUGAACCAGGCUAGCCCGCAAGAACAAACGUGAACCUCAAGUCAAAGUCACAGACCGCAAGCACAUUCUGUGUAGUGAAGCCCUUUUGACAAAGAUGUUGCACCACCUUGUUACUUGGCACGACAACUGGUAUAUGAGUGCCAUCUAUUGCACCUAUACAAUUGUUGAAGUGUGAAAAAAAUCUAGGAUUCUGUAACCUACAGUGCAUUGUUCUAAAUUCAGGGUCGAGGGGCUUGAUUAUGUCAGCUGCUAGCUUUAUGAUACAAUUCAAAACUUUGUCAAAAUUACGAUGAACUGUUUCUAAUGAUCUCUCAAUCUGUUCUCAGCUUGUCUAACUGACUGAGGUGCACCAACCAUCCAAAGAAACAUUCCUAAGGCCUCUACUGAAGAGCUCUUUGAUGUGGACUUUAGGCCAUAAGAUUGCACCAAUAGAUCAUGCAGACGAUCAAACAAUUCUCUACUCAUUCUAAACAUGUUAUAGCAUUACACACUAUCUGCUAGAUUUCUCAUCACCCAAUCAUGACCACUUUCAACUGUCUUUCUCUUCUUACUUUUAUUAAAGUAGGUGUCAUGAUACAUACCAAACAGCAGCAGAUCCUCUAUGAAUUGCCUUUCAUAUUCACUGUCCUCCUCAGCAAUAAGCCUCAAGAUCUCAUCCUCACUUGAGUCACUGUCUACAUCCAUAUCCUGGACAUAAUAAAAAAAAUCAAUCAGUGAACCAUACAAAAAAUCAAUACAGUGACAUAAUUCAACCAGCACAAAGUGACAUAAUACAAUUUGCAAGCAGUGACAUAAUUCAAUCAGCACAAACAGGUCAAAUAAAUACAUUGCAUCACAAACAGCAUCACAAAUUUAUUUGAAAUGUUACUUGAAUUAGUACAGACAGUUUCCUUCAACACAAAAGCAUCACCACAAAGACAUAAUCCUAAUCUAGGUUGUGUUGCUUGCAAUAUCUUCUCAAGAAGGUCAGCCUUCCUUCAGUUGUGGAUAUGUUAAUGAAGAACUGCCUCAAGGAGUCAUUUAAGCAGAUCUGAGACACAGCAUAGUACUCAGAGCUAGUUUCAUCCACCCCACACUCCAAAGCCAACUUCUGAGCCUGCUUAAUGGUGCUGUCCAACAGAGCCAUCUUCUUGUCUUGUCUAUUACAGACAGCUUCCUUGAUGAACUGAUUCCUUUCAGCUUGCUGCUUAGAAGAGAAACUAAUAUAAUCCUUCAUCAUUUUGACCAUUGGGCUUUUGGUCUUCUUGUUUGGACUUGAAGCUGUUGUGCUGGUACUACUGGUUCUCUUGCGGCUGCUUGUACUCAUAGGACUGUGUGCAUACUCUGGAGGUAGAUCUUGCUCAGGCAUCUAUUGCUCAGGUUCUUCAUGCUCUUCAGGCUCCUCAAGCUCCUCUGGCUCUUCAGGUUCUUCAUCAUCUGCAUUGGUGUAUCCUGGCACAAAAGAGCUUGAACCAUCCACAACUACACCAUCAAAUAUACGCUCAAGCAGUGGUAGGUACUCAGGAGGCCCAUACAUUAGUUUCAUCCAUUCUGGAUGUUUCUGCACAUGUAGUAGUUGAAGUUAGUUUGCAAUCAGAUGGGUCCUUGCUAGCUGCACAUAUGAUAGAUCAACAAGUACCUUUGUUGCAGUCUCCCACCACUCCAAGGUUGCAGUAGGCCACCCAUUUUCAUCACGGCCUAAACCACUGUCGGAAUGGAUGUCUUUUAUGAACUGAUACAUUCCCUUGAGCUGCCUAAUCCUAUUAGAUAUCUGUUUCCUAUCAUGCCUCAGCCCUGAACCGCAGUAAUACUUUUCUAUGACAAGCUUAUACCCUCUUGCUGUCAUAGUCCCUUUAAUGUAGUUACCCAUUUCAAUUUGAUCAACAAGUAAUUGACACAACAGGUUGUUAUUCUGCUCUGAUGACCAACUUCCUCUAUCCAAUUUAUUCUACCAUAUGCAUCACAAGAGAAAUUACAUCAGAACUCAAAUACACAUGCAUAAUCUAUCUCAUAAGUAAUGUACUAAGGUCGCUGUAGUCUAGCAAAAAAUUGUAGCUACAAAUCCAUAUCCAUCACUUGUUAGCAUCUAAUUUGCAUAUAGCAAGUGUUCUGAAGCUGCUAAGGCAAGCUGAGGCAUGGUGACCACCCCCUUAUUCUUCCUCUGUAACCCCCCCUCUCUCUGUCUCUGUCACACACACACAUACAGCUUAUGCACAGGCGCUGGCAACCUCCUACGAAAUCACCUUCAAGUGGUGGCUAACAUGCAUCACAAGAACAAGCAUUUCAUAUUACUCUAACAACAAUAGGCCACCCAUUCACUUCUCUGAGAUCAAGGGUUUAGGACUCAUACCUGACGGCUUGGAAACACUUCUUCCACUUCGUUGUCUUCAAUGUCGUCGUCGUUGUUGCCCUGCCGUCCAACACGUCGACCACGGCCACGGCCUACUGAUGCACCAGCCGCCGCCGAGGAAGGUCCACGCAUACCACGACCGGCGGCGGCAACCGGUGGCAACCGACCGCGGCGGCCGCGACUGGACGGCGACCAUUCGCCGCGGCCUCCUACGGCUCCGCCACAGCUCCGAGCACUGCGUAAACCGAGUGUGCGAGAGGUACCUCUUCUGCCACCGCGCAGUUGAGAGUGAUGAGGCCCUGUGCUCUCCGACGCCGCCAGUGCGCCGGAUUGCAGGAUCCCCUGAUACGCCGCCAUCGACGACUAGUCGUUCGCCUGCGAGUUGAGGUCCAGUACCUCUAUGCCAAUACGGGGACCACUGACGGAUCCCAACCUCGGAUACUGGCUGCCGUCGCCGGGGAAGAGGUCGAAGUUGCUGGUGAAGAAGUCCCUGGUGCCGUUGUCGCCGAAUCCGUCCAUCGGCGGCGUGCGGAUGUAGGCGGUUGAGGUGCUCCGGCGACUGGUGUGGCGAAGGGAAGGGGACGAGAUGUAGAUCUGGUGAGAGGUGCAUCGGCGGUGAACUCAGCACAGAGGGGUGGCGCCGGCGAUGCGGGAGCGUGUUAGAGGCAGGGGAGGCGAAGGGAGUCGGGCGAUAGGGGCGGAUGCGGUGUAGAUCUGGUGAAAGUGGCGUCGAGAGGGGUGGCGGCGGCGAUGCGGGAGAGGGUGGUGGCGGCGGCGAUGUGAGAAGAAGGGGAGGCGGGGGGAAUCGGGCGAGACGGGCGGAGGCGGUGGAGAUCUGGCGAGCGGGGCGGAGCGAGGGGUGUGCGAGAGCUGGCGGCGGCCUGCGCGGAGGAGGGAGAUGUGGAUGAGGGCGACGGGCACGUGCGGAGGCGGAGGAGAUGGCGGCGGCGCCGUGGGGCCGAGCACAGAUGGCGGGGCCGGCGAGGCGGCGGCGGCGGGCGAAGGAGGCGGGGACGGGAGGAGCACGCGGGGAGGGAGGGAGAGAGUGCGGGGGAGGAGAGAGUGGCGGAUGAGGGCGACAGGCAGAUGCGGAGGCGGAGGAAGUGGCGGCGGCGCCGUGGGGCAGAGCAGAGGUGGCGGGGCCCACGACGCGGUGCCGGCGGCGGCGGGCGAAGGAGGCGGGGCCGGGAGGAGCACGCGGGGAGGGAGGGAGAGAGUGCGGGGGCGGAUAGAGGUGCGUAUGAGGGUGAGGGGCAGGUGCGGGGGAGGAUAGGGCGACGGGCAGGGGCGUGCCUAGGGUCGUGUGCGAGGGGAGGGGUAUGGAGUGUCCAUGUUCACUUUUAGCUCCUUUUAGGGCCUCUUUGGGGGGCUAAAUUUUAGCUAUUCUACACUUUCAGCCCACCUGUUUGGAUCCCAAGAGCUAAUUUUUGGGCUAAAAGUGCAGAGCUAAAAAUUAGCCCUUGGAUCCAAACAGGCCCUUAGUUGCUAAACUUUAGCAAAAGCUGUUUGGAUACUCUUGCUAAAAGACAUUUAAUGAGCUGUAAAAAGACCUAUAUACCCUUAUUAAAGGUGCGCAGGAGGGGGGAGAUAAGCAAUAAAUGAGGGUAUAGGUUGUCCAGCCCACCUUUUAGCAAGUUUUAGCAACCAAAAACUUGCUAAAGUGCUAAACUUUAGAACCUCAACUUUAACAAGUUUUAGGCCAUGUUUGGCAUGGCUCCAACUCUGGGUGGAGCUGCUCCACUCCUGAACUCCACAUGGAGCCAGCUCCGCUCCAAAACUCCAAAACAAAAAUGGGGUAUUUGGCUAGAUGGUGCUCUCAGCUCCAAAAAAGAUCGAUUUCAGUGUGGAUUGCCAUUGUUGCCCCCUAAUUAAGGCUCCACUUGUCAUCCUCUCUAUCCCAUCUUCUUCUUCCCCUUUUUCCACUGCACUGUGCUGCACACGGGAGACCCUCCACGGGCGGCGGGGUGGGUGGCGGGCUGGGCGGCGACGGGCGGCGGGGUGGGCGGCGGGCUCGACGACAGGCGGCGGGCGGCGACGGGCGACGACAGGCGGCGGGCGGCGACGGGCGACGGGCGACGGGUGCGGCGACAGGCGGCGACGGGCGACGGGUGCUGCGACGGGAGGCGGCGGGCGGCGACGGGCGGUGGGGUGGGCGGCGACGGGCGGCGAUGUGCGACGAUAGGCGGCGGGCGGCGGCGGGCGGCGACGGGCGACGACAGGCGGCGACGGGCGGCGGCGAGCGGCGGGCGCGGCGACGGGCGACGACAGGCGGCGGGCGGCGACGGGCGGUGGGUGCGGCGACGGGCGACGACGGGCGGCGACGGGCAGCGGGUGGCGGGCGGCGACGAGCGACGGGGGCGGCGACGGGCGGGGCUCUGGCGGCGAGUGGGGCUCGAGAGAAUAGAAGAGAGAAUAGAAUGAAACGUUUUUUUGUGUAACCAGUGGCAUUGGUGGGUAAUUACCCACCAACUCCACGAGGAGGUUCAAAAGAGAGGUUUCUGGAGCAGCAAAAGAGGUGCUCCAAAACUCCACCUCCAUUUGCACUACAGCUCCAUGAAGUUGGCAACUCCAUGAAGUUUUGGAGUUGGGGUGUUUGGCUGAAUUUUUUGAUGGAGUUGCUGGAGUUUAGGAGUGGAGCCGUGCCAAAUAGGGCCUUAGUAAGGGUGUUUGGCAGUUUAGCAGCUAAAAGUUGCUAAAUUUUAGCAACUAAAGUUUAGCAAGGUGGAACCAAACAGGUAUAUAGCUGUAAGAUUUGCUACCCUCCGGAGCUCCUGCCUGUUGCCUCGCGCCGCGUGUCCGUGGCUGCCUUUUUUUUACUCGCCGAUGAAGAUAAUGGAGGCUACUGUUACUGAUGACUUUACUGCCGCGGCGCGUGUAUCAUCAUGCGUCGUAACUCGGAUGAUUGCAUCGGCUCCACGCGGUGCGGAACGAAGGCUUACACGUCGUCCUUCACCGCGGAAGAAAUCGGCGCUGCCUCAUUACCUGGUUCUCCUCGCCGACGUCGCCUCCUCACCUCGCGUUUUGCGCUGUUGCCGGCCUCCUCCAACCUGCCGCUCCGACUCCAACCCGCAGCCGUUGUCCUUCGCCCACCGAGGUCGACCACUGCGAGCCCCUACACCACAUCCGCCCUUGGGAUGCCGGUGCAUCUCGGCAGCUCCGGCGGUGGCCUUUCUCGGCGUCGUCGUUCCUCUCCUUCUGCAAGCGUCCAUUCCCCUUCUCAAGAUUUUGCGUGCUAAGCCUUGGUUUAUUCUUCGAUUAUCUGAUCUCCACACCUUCCCCCUUUCAUAUUUAUCUUGGUUCCUCUGCUGUCACCCUUGUUCUUGGCUGAAUCUGCUCCAUUGCUUGGCGGCUAUUGGUUCCUAUGUGCAUGCUGCGUUGCGAUUUCGGCCGGUAGGGAACACCAUGGCAAUAGGGGGCACAUGCCAUGCCGCUUCCCAGGAUCUCCAACCUCUCUCCUCAAAUGGUGAGGCAAUGGAUUGAAAUUCUUCCCUGCUCUCUUUUUUCCCCAAACUGAACAGGAAAUCCUAACCCUACCUAGCCCUUGUUUAGUUCACCCCCAACUCCCAACUUUAGCACUAUGCAAAAAGAAGAUUCCCUAUCACAUCAAACUUGUGGUACAUGCAUGGAGUACUAAAUGUAGACGAAAUUAAAAACUAAUUGCACAGUUUUGUUGUACUUUGCGAGACGAAUCUUUUGAGCCUAAUUAGUCAAUAUUUGGAUAAUAAUCCACAAAUACAAACGAAACGAUACAGUGUGCUACAGUGCUGUAACAGUAAUUUGGCACCUCCAAACUUUGUCAACUAAACAAGGCCCUAUUUGUGUUAACAUCAAUUUCCUGCAGAUUUCUCAGGCAGGUGUGCUCGAGAAGCAAUUCCCAAUGAGGCUGGUGCAGCUGCAGGUAGAAAUACAUUUUUUUUAAAACGAACGAGACAGGUACUGUAGGAGAGCUGCGGUAGAAAGAAGAUUAUAUUAAAAAGAAGAUGAAGUUCAGAUCAGACGAAAAAAAAUGCAAACACCGACAGGUUGGAUUGGAUCAUCAACGUAUACCGCAUCAUGUCCUCACGCGUAACUCAACUGUACAACACAUCGGUCGGUUGGAUUGGGACAUCAACACACACCGAACUCAACUCCUCUCAACAACUCAACGACAGAACCGAAGCCUUACCGUAACCCUACCACCAUUCAAAUCCUCUCAACAACUCAACGACAGAACUGAAACCUUACCGUAACCCUACCACCAUACACACGGUCAAGAAAUCGUCGAAACCUCCCAGCGUAACCUAGUGUUGACGUUGAACCGAAAAGCAGACUGCAUCACACCGAGAAGGCCACCGCCGUGCAGGACCUUUUGCCGUAGUGACGCUGUAACAUCUUUCUCCACCCUGACAGGGCGAUAGCACUGAAUCCGGACCUCUCGCAGACUGCCUUGUAGUCGCCGCCACGAUAACGCAACGCGCAGGGGUUCGCCACAUUCGUCGUGGGACUCUGCCUCUCUCUCGUCACCUCGAAUAGACACCGCGCGCAGGGGCCUCGCCACGCCCGCUGCAGUACUCCACAUCAUGGAUCCAUUUUUUUUGUCACUGUCAGAGUGUUGAGUGAUGUUGCUCCGCUCCCCAAGAUCUCCAUUGAUCAGCCAAGCCGCUGCAGUGUGUCGACCUCGCCUCGUUGCUUCACCCUCACACAUAGCCUUCUUCGCCAUGUUAGUAAAUCAGAGAAGUCGCUUGCGACGUCUUCUGACGAUGUACCACACCGGAUAGCCCAGCCAAGCUGAGCAACCUGUCGUGGUCUGCUGCAAGCCUAGUCGUCCCACGCUACCGUUGCUGCAAGCGCCGUCCUCCGACAUAGUCUCACACCGCACUAACCGCUGCCAAGCAACGUCAGCCGCCGCAGUCUGCUGCGAGAAGCCCAAUCCGACAACCAUGCAACAACCCCUGGCCACCACCAAAACUUCGAACGCUUGCACAUGAGAUCGGCAACACCCAUUCAGCUCACCACGCGGCGGAGUUGCCGCCAUCGGCUGUGGCCUCCCAUGACAAAGGUUCAACAAUGCCACGAACCAAGUUGGGUCUUUAGAGACGACGCCUCCAAGGAGGGCACGACACUAAUGGUGCCGCCAUCGCUCGUCCAGGAUCUGGACAGAGUUUUCACCCAGAGAACCCCGUGCAAUAGGGUCGUAAUUCCAACAUGACGCCCCCAACAGGGAAGACGACGUCCUAGGGCGUCGCCGUCAUGUCGACCAGCACGAAGGCUGGUGAGGGCUUUCGCCUUAAGUAAUACAACCCCUCGCUGCACGUACAUGGUUCAGUACUCCCGGACCACCGCUACAGCAACCCAGUCGAGGCAAUGCCGCCGCCACGCCUCCACUCGCCAUGCCACCGUACCUCCACCUCCAUUUCCAUCGCCGCCCUCCAUCGCUUGCACCUCCCUGCCGACGCCGCGCGUCCGCUUGCCAUUCCAUCACCACAUGGCUUGCAGCGCGCUCCUCCUGGCUGCGCGCACUUCCCGGCCGCGCACCUCCCGGCUACGCGCUCCUCCUGGCCGUGCUCCUCCCGACCGCCACGCGCUCUCCCGGCCAUGCUCCUCUUGGCCGCCGCGCGCUCCUCCCGGCUGCCGCAUUUCUCUCUCGGCCGGCGCUCCUUCCUUUGCCCACGCCGGAUGCCCAACCUUCAUCCGCGCGCGACCGCCACCCACCGAGAAUCCGCUGGCAGCUGGGGUGCACCUGGAGGAUGACCUCGUCGGCGAUGCGCGUGAGGAAGACGUCCGCAGCGAACUGCCGCUCAUCAACAGCUUCAUGGCCGCAAGCCGCAGCUGCCGCCUGCUCCCCUUCUGCCGCCGCCUGGUCGCGCCGUGCCGGGAUGCGCUGUGGACGGUGGAUCCGGGGCGGAGAGGCCAGAUCCACCCACGGCAGGGCUGGAUCCGGGCUGCCACCCGGCACCUUGCGUCGUCCCGCCCCAGCAUCGUCCUCGAGGGUCACUGGCCUGCCCCGCCACCACCGUCCUCGGGAGCCGUCCGGGCUUCCGGCAACUCCUCCAGCGGCAGCGAGGUGGGCACGAGGGGCGGUGGGGGAGGCCUGACGGCGGCGAGAGGCGCCGCCCGUGUCGCUCGCGGGGAGGGCGAUGCGAGCCCAGCGGGAUGUACGAAUACAAUUUCCUUUCUACUGAAGCUAGUUUGCAAUAUCUGGCAAAUUUUGGUACGAUAUGUUUUUGCACUGUUGAGGUUAUGAAGUUUAGAGGACAUCCUUGCCAUAUGUUGAAUUGCAAUUCUUUUAAGUCUAAAGAAUAUAUCCCAUUUUUUGAUUUGCUAAUAUAUAUAACCAUAAUAUUGUUGCUUCUUGCCAUCACGGACUGAGGUCAAUGCGUAGGUUUUAAAAGUAAAGUCAACAUUGUGCCUAUUAAUAACUGGAAUGGAGAUCUAAAUAUAUUUAACUUGUGCAUAUUAGCAUUUGUAAGCACUUAAUGGAUCUGAGAACUCCUGUUGGGAGCUGAUACAAUACCUGCUCAGGCAUUUUCCUGAAGAAAUAUGAUUACUAAGCUUUGAUAUGCUAUUAUGUUCUAUUUUUUUUUCUACAGGGUCCUGUCUUUCCAUAUGUAGCAUACAAUCAAACAUGGAAGGUCUUCCAACAUACUAAGAGCUGCUGAAGGUGAUAAGUGAAUAUUCUGAAUAUGUUCCUUCUGGCUGCGAUGAUGUUUCUACCUCUACCAUCCAAGAACUAUUACCGAAUUUGGACCUUCAUAUCUGUCCUAAACAAAAGGUACAUGUAAGGUUUUUUCACAUUAAUGGUCCAAACAUUUUUCUUUGGUUUAGUGAUUCUGUUUUUACCACCUUUACUGUUAGACGUCCCUUCCCUUAAUUAUUGCUUCUACCCCCAUUCUCUUUGUUCAUUGUUCCAAUACUAUCAUGUGCCCCUCCACAUGGUAGCAGGGAAGCUAUUUUUAAUGUUUUCAUGCAACAUCAAACUGCAUUUCUGCAAAUAUUGCAGGAAGACAGAUUUUGCGUUAAUCACAUGUCACCAUUUUAAAUUGCCUACGUUGAAAAAUGUAUAAUAGUAAGUACUUAACAAUGACUAUACAGCUCUGCACUACCAAACGGUACUACUAAAAUUGUGCCUAGGAAACCACAUCUCAAAGAUGACUACAGAAUUAUAUGAACUCUCCUGUACAUUUUGUCGUGGUUCCUUUAGCUCUAUGAUGAUUCUUCCCGUUGUUAUCGAUAAGAUGCAUGCAAUAAGUACUAUAUUUGCUUCUGAGAUUACAUUAAUAUAAUCCACAAUUCUGGUUUCAUCCAGAACUAGCACUAUUUAUUGAAUGGUGCAAUAAUCAAUGCUGUUUUGAUUUCUGACAACUUUAAUUCUGCUAUCAUAUGCAGGUCAUCCGUCUGAAGAGGUUUGGUGAUUUAUGUAUGUCCUGCUUCAUUUUGCUUCUACCUUUCAGUUUCCAUUUUAAGAGGAGUGGUAGCCUAGCCCUGUCAGCUGUGUGCAUCUAUGUAACUAGCUCUUUGGCUAUUCUGUAUGAGGUUGUGUAUUGGUCGCUCUUUAAGGUAAAUCCCUUCUAUAUUUUGCAGCUGCAAACUUACAAGUAAAUUUUCAAGGUAGAUUGUUUCGCUAGAGUUUCAAAUCAAUGAAUUCAAGUCACCGACAGUAAGGGUAUCGCAUUAACUUUAUGCCUUACGCUCAUGUCAGUAUGUGCUGUGUGACUAGAGCCAAUAUCUGCGUGAACCUUUGCUGCAAUUUUGUCUACAUGGAUGUUAAGAAACAUAUUGUGAGGCGCCCUAAACGCAGCUGGCUAAGUGCCCAGCAUCAUUGUGAGUCAUAAACACUGAAAUUCAUACAACAUCAUGAAAAAUGGCACACGAAGCAGUUAACCGUUCGAUGAAUGCAGCAUCCACUUCCGCACCGAACCGGUCGCCGGAGGGGACGGGGAAUGGAAGAAAUCGGCGGUGGAAGCGACUCGCUCCCCUUUCGCCCUUUCUCAACUGCAGUAGCGGAAGGUAUGCAGCCCUUGGACUUGGACCCGCUGGAACGCAGCUUUCGUUUCGUUCUUUGCUUGCGUCCGCUCACGGCUCAGCCGGAAGCAGUUCUCCUUUGCUUUCUUGCCUUGCAUCUCUCGUCACUGCUUUGCUUGCAUCUGCAGUUCGGCACUGCACGGCGGCGCCCCUCCCUUGUCAAAAUCCAAAUGUCACCGGCUUCGGCUUCGGCUUCGGCUUCGGACUUCGCGGACACGAUCCAUGGCGGCGGUGCCUAAAUAAAACCUCUUAUGCCCAUCUGCCUAAAUAAAUCCCAUCACGGGCCAGAGGCCCAAGUCACCGAUCUCCCUCCGUCCCAUUUAGGCUGAUGGGCUAAAAACGUCUCAUUCUGGGCCCGUGAUAGGACUUAUUUAGGCUGAUGGGCCGAAAUAAGCCCCAUCAGUUCCGUCCCCAAGUCUCGCGUUCAGUUCCGUUCCGUCCCACUCCCUACCAUCACCAGUUCACCACCACCACGAUGACCGCGACCGCGAGCUUCGUCGGCGUCGGAGGCCGAGGGCUGCAGGUGCUCGCGAUCGCCUGGUGUUCGCGGCGGCACAUGCUCCCGCGACCUGAGUUCCUCCCGCUCGGUUUCGUGGGCCGCGCGCUGGAGCACGCCCGCGAGGCCGGCGCCGCUAUCACGACGACGGGGCUUCGAGCAGAUCUCGCUUGCGUCGCCGGCCCGCGGCUCCCCACCUGACCUCCGCCUUACAUGUCGCCGGGGCGGCCGAUGGACCCACGCUGCUCUUCCACUACGGGGCUUCGCCUUCGCUGCCAGCCUUCCACGGGCGGCACACCUAAGUACCUCACGACGGCCAACCCACGCUCCGUCCUCUUCUGGCAGCUGGUAAUUCUUUCUGCAUCAUGUCUUGUUCUAGCAGAAAAUUUUGUCUGGGCCAGAAGUGCAAUUUAAUUCAGCACACAUAUGCUUCUGGUUUCAUACAGAUUACGUAUCAGCCCUAAGCAUGUCGGGCUAAAACAGCGCCACUUGAUCUUCUGUUCUCUUUCUCCACACAAGUAUUCUUACUAGAACCUGAGGGCUGAGGCUGAUCUAGAUGGAUCACAAUUGCAGAACAGAGGCAGGAUAAUCAAGACAGCUUAACCGUACCACAAAUGCCUAUCCUUGACAUCUUCUAUUUUUUUACUCAGCAGUUCAAUCUGAUUAGAAAAUCUAAGCAGGCUCCACUGAGAUAGCACUAUACCGUGCCUGCCCCCACCUGAUGCUGCCAUUUUCUGACAAAUUCCUUUUAUUAUGAACGAUAGUUCGUCUAGACAAUGAAUUAAUCACCCGACUACUCACCUUUCUGAUCAAGUAUUUAUUGGCACCAGCUGCCAUAAAAAUGCAAAGAAGAAAAAGUUUAAUUAUUGAAAGAAAGUGAGUAGUCCCUCCUUAGAAUCUCUCAAAUGUGACUGGCAUAGAUAUGUAUCAAUGCCAUCACUUCAAAAAUAAGAAAGGGCUAAUUUGUAGACUUGUGGCUGAUGCAGCAGGUUUAGUAAGGAACCUUGUAUCACGUGCCUUGAAAUAUGCUAAUCUUCCACCCUAAUUUCUAGUCGACAAGGAAGAAAGGCAAACACUUGGCAUAUAUUGAACUAAAGAAACUAGCGUCUCUGACUCUAUGUAGAAAUACUGCACAGAAAGAGAAGCCAUCCAAAAGUUAACAUGCACUAACAAUUUGACGCUUCCUUGGAAGUAUUUAAUAGCAUGACCUCCUUUUUUCAUAGUCUGAAUGCGUACAAAGUGUCAAGUUUAAAGCUGCAUAUAACGUUUCUUAUUAUCUGACUUUCAAAUGCUGCAAAUGUAGUACAUACCACAAUCCUCUCACCUUUCCGUGGUCCUGGGUCUAAUUGUCUAUUCAACAGGUGGAAGCAACAGGCCCUGGGCCAUUAAUAAUGGACAGUGCCAUCGUGGAAACUUUUGUGUCUUCAUCGCCGCCGUGCAAUUGCAAAUGCAAUGGAUCAACAAGAAAAGGAAUUCCCUAUGACUGGUCAUUUAAGUAAGCUGUCUGCUAACCUCGCUUAAAUAGACCAAGAAGUCAUGGACUAAAUAAGAACUCAAAGAAAUCACUAUUCUUCCAUCUUCCCAUCACAAAGGUUUCAGAAUGGAAACAUUUGUUUCUGCAAUUCUUGGCGAUCUCCUCAGUCGAUCAAUAUCUUUCGUCAUCGACAGAUGCUACAGGCAGCAGAAGGGUGUGGAGGUCUACCUGCUGCAGCUGCGCCAUGUCCUGCUGCGCAUCAAGGCCACCGUGGAAGAGGCUGAGGGACGGCACAUCACAAACCAAGCGAUGCUCUGGCAGCUCCAGGUACUGAGAGAAAUGAUGUAUAAAGGCUGCUACCUGCUUGAUACCUUCACAUACCGGAUACUGCAGGAACAGGGGGAGAUUGAUCAGUGUGGUAGUCAAUCCUUUGCCUUAUCCAAAUUCAGUUCAGCCAAGCGCUUCUGCUUCUCUAACAGGAGGAUAGGCGCGAUAUUUCAAGGUCAUGGGGUGAAGGACGUUCAGAAGAUGCUAGGAAACAUGCAUAGCAUCAUCGACGAUAUGGCAGAGUUCAUUAUAUUCUUGAAAUCCUAUCCUCCCAUCAUUCGCGAGCCCUAUAGCAAGUACUUGUUUAUGGAGAAGUGCAUGUUUGGCCGCCAGGCAGAGAUGGAGAAGAUCAUCAGAUUCUUGUUGCAGCCAGAGCCUCCAGGCGCAAAUAGUUUGCAAGUACUUCCGAUAAUUGGUCCACCGAGAGUUGGCAAAAGCACCCUUGUUGAGCAUGUCUGUUACGAUGAGAGGGUGCACAAUCACUUUUCCUCAAUAAUUCUGUGCAGUGGAGACCCUAGUGCUCCAGAAGGCAGUGAUGUCGUCAAGAAGCAAAGUCAUGGCUCACAUGGAAGAUCACUUAUUGUCAUGGAGCUUGCUGAGGAUUUGGUUCUAGGCGACAGGCAAUGGAGAAAGCUGUACUCUUCAAGCCACAUGCCACUUGGAAGUAAGGUCAUUAUCACAAGCAGAACAGAGGAUAUCACGAAACUCGGUACAACGGGAGCUAUUAGACUGAAAUAUCUGACUCAAGAAGCUUACUGGUAUUUUUUCAAGGUAAUGGCCUUUGGAAGCACAGAUCCCGAGGUGGACCCGGAGCUAGCAUCAAUAGCAAUGGAAAUUGCAGCAGAGCUUGAUGGAUCUUUCUUGGGCGGAAAUGUCAUCAGUGGCAUUCUAAGAGCUAAUCAGCAUGCUCAAUUCUGGCGCAAGAUCCUUAAGUUGCAGAGAGAUUAUGUACAGUGGCAUCUCCUCCUCUUUGGUGAACAUCCACACACUCUUCUUCAGAAAAAACAGACUGCGUAUGUUUGGAGUCUGUCCAACAAUUCCUUGAGGCUCAAAGUUCUUUGUUUUCAAACACAUUCUCCUCUGAUUGAUGUUCCAAAGACAACGUUGUUUGAGUUCCAAGCAAGAAAUCCAGAAGUUCAUAGGGAGCUGGAAGUCCUGGUGUGGAAAUCUCGCAUACCCCCGUACCACAGCUACACUAUGAGGUGUGAGUUGGAGGCAUCACAAGACACGAUGGCUAAGAAGAAGCGACCUCACUCAACGGUGUGAUUCAGCUCACCUGCAAAUAAGAAUACAACCUCACUGUUCAAUUCAUCGGUGGCUUUCAUUGUUGGGAUCAAAAGCCAAAUAUGAACGUUAGUCUUUUUUGAAGUAGUCUUUUUUCCGUAACUUCCUAUCAAAUAGCAUGCACACUGUUAUUCCUACUUAUGCAGAUCAAUAUAUGUGUAAUCUUGCAUUUUGCUGGCUGUAGUCUGUACGCAGCAUUUUAUAACAUACAGUAGGUCACAAGACGCUCAUAAAAAAAAUAUAUUCAGCGGUCACCCAUGUGCUGUUCUACAAGGAACCGUUUAUUCUACACCAGUAGUUAUAUAGUGUGCUGAGAAUUGCUGAACAAAAUUUCAGUAAUAAAAUAACUACUGAUCGCGAAUUCGUGAUAGUUCGCGUCAGUCUGAUCAGUAACACAAUGGUGUAGUAUAAUAUUCCACAUCUAUAUUCGAUGCUCUUUUUUUUUAAUAAACUCAGCAAACAGAGCUGAACGAGGAAUAAAACAACAGAAGACAUGCUCAGUGGCGUAGUACAACUGCAUACUGCAGAUCAUUGUAGUCGAGAGACUAGAGAGUCUUCACAACUCAAUUCCCCACGCCUCUCUUUGCUUGACAAAAUUGCUUUGAACGUGUCACGACAUGCAGAUCAGAACUGUAAAUACCAUAUGAUGUCUAAUUCUGAUUUCGUACAAAACCAGAAAUUCAGAACCGCCGUCUCCAGAAAAGGAUUGUGCAUUUCCUUCUUUUUUACUCACUUAGUCCGAAUCUGUACGAAGUCAAAGACUGCAUAUCACGUGCCUUCAUAUUUUGAAAGUUGACUACUGCUGAUGUAAAGUACAUCGGAUGCAAGUGCAAAAAUCUUCUCACCUUCCAAUGGUCCUUGGUCUAAUUGUCUAUUCAGCAGCUGGAAGAAACAGGCACUGGACGGUCAAUAAUGGAGAGUACCAUCGUGGAAAUGCUUGCGUCUUCAUAGCCGCCGUGCAAAUGCAACGCGUUAACAACGAAGGGAACUUCUCGUGAGCUGUUCUUGUAAGUAAGCUGCCUGCCAAUCUCAGCUUAUAUGGUUGAACUGGUCAUUUAACCAUAUAAGCUGAGAUCGUCUGAACAACCCAUCAUCCCAUCACAAAGGUUCACAAUGGAAACGUUUGUUUCAGCAGUUCUCGGAGAUCUCCUCAGUCGAACGGUAUCCUUCAUCAUUGACAGAUGCUACAGGCAACAUAUGGGUGUGGAGGAGUACUUGCCAUGGCUGCGCCGUGUCCUGCUGCGAAUCCAGGCCACUGUGGAGGAUGCCGACGGGCGGCAUAUCACAAACGAAGCUAUGCUCCGGCAGCUCCAGAUGCUGAGAGAAGCGAUGUACAAAGGCUUCUACCUGCUUGAUGCUUUCACGUAUCGGAUGCUUCAGCAACAGAGGGACAACGACGAUCAGGUUGGUGAUCACCCCUUGUCCAUAUUUUGUCCAGUCAAGCGCUUGUGCUUCUCUGCCAGGAGGAUGAACAUGGUAUUUCAAGGUGAUGGGGUAAAGGAGGUUCAGGAGACGCUAGGAAACCUGCAUAACAUCAUCCACGAUAUGGCAGAGUUCACCGUCUUCUUGAAAUGCUAUCCUCACAUCAGCCGUGAGCCUUACAACAAGUACUUGUUUCUGGAGAAGUGCAUGUUUGGCCGCCAAGCAGAGAUGGACAAGAUCAUGGGCUUCUUGUUAAAGCCAGAGCCUCCAGGAGCUCAGGGUUUGCAAGUGCUUCCUAUAAUUGGUCAGCCAAGAGUUGGGAAAAGCACUCUCGUUGAGCAUGUCUGUUACGAUGAGAGGGUGCACAAUCACUUCUCUUCGAUAAUUCUAUACAGUGGUGAUCCUACUGCUGCUCCAGAAGGUAGUGGUGUAGUGAAGAAGCAAACUGAUGGAUCAAAUGGAAGGUCACUUGUUGUCAUGGAGCUUCCUGAUGGUUUGGCUAUAGAGGAGAGGCAAUUCAGAAAGUUAUAUUCUUCAAGAAGCCACAUGCCACCUGGAAGUAAAGUAAUUAUCACAAGCAGAUCAGAGAAUAUCAUGAAACUUGGAACUACUGGAGCUAUUACACUGAAUUUUCUGUCUCAAGAAGCUUACUGGUACUUCUUCAAGGUGAUGGCUUUUGGAAGCACAGAUCCUGAUGAGCACCCAGAGUUAGCAUCGAUAGCAAUGGACAUUGCAGCAGGGCUAGAAGGAUCUUUCUUGGCCGCAAAUGUCAUCUGUGGCUUUCUGAGAGCUAAUAUGCACAAUAGAUUUUGGCGCAAGAUCCUCGAAUUGGAGAGAAACUGUUUAGAGAAGAACAUCCUCCUUUUUGGCAAACGUCCACAGACUCUUCUUCGGAAAAACCAAAUUGCAUAUGUUUGGAGCCUGUCCAACACUUCCUCCAUUUGGGUCAAAGUUCUUUUAUAUGAAACACAUUCUCCUGCAAAUGAAGUUCCAAAGACAAUGUUGCAUGACGUCCAAAUCCAAACUAUAAGUGCAAAAGCAUACAGGAAGCUGGAUGUCCUGGUGUGGAGAUCUCGCAUACCCCCAUACCAUAACUACACUAUGAGGUGUGAGAUAGAGGCAGCACAAGAGAUGAUGUCCAAGAAGAAGCGGCCUCACUCCAUGGUGUAAUUCAGGUCAUCUGCAAAUGAGCACACAACCUCAGUUUGUUGCUAUUCACUUCAUUGGCAGGUUUUAUUAUUGCAAUCAAAUUUGAAUGGUGAUAUGCAUAAUAGGAUCUAUCUGUUCCUUGCAAUGAGCUCUUUUUUCUUAUUUUAUAUCAAAUAGGUUACGCACUCUGCUAAUCCUUUGCAGUUUGUAGUUCAGUUUAUGUGCAUUUGUCCUCUGUACGCAGCAGUUUGUAACCUGGGCGACAAGACUCUCAUAGGAAACUACAACUCAUGAGAAAAUACAAUCAUAUUCAGUGACUUAUGUGCAGUGCAGAAAUGCAUGAUCUGACCUCGGAAUAUACAGAGACUAUGAUGGCUUGUUUCGUUUCGUUUAACUUCCUGUGAAAUUCCUGCUUUCCAAAUGCAGCAUUAGUUUGGCCCAGUAGAAAACAUAUAGUAAUCACAGAGAAACUCGCAGGAAUCUACCCAGCCCUCGUGUAAGAAUUAGUCAACAAUUGGAGGCAACAAAGGACUGGUCCAUUAAUACAUCAUGGUGGAAAAUGUUGCGUCUAGAUAAUGUGUGAACAUGACGACUCCUUGCAGCUUAUCUUACAGCAUUUAGGUAGCUCGCCUGGCAGUUAGAGGCCAGAGAUGAACUGAAAACAGGAACUCAAAUCAAACAUCGUAAUGGAAACGUUCAUUUCUGCAAUCCUUGGUGAUCUUUUCAGCAGAUCAGUAUCUUUUGUCCUCAACAAUUACCAUCUACGGCGGCAGAAGGGCGUCAAGGACAACCUGCAAGCGCUGCGCUGCGUGUUGCUGCGCAUCCAGGCCACCGCGGAGGAGGCUGAGGGGCGGCACAUCACCAACCAGGCCAUGCUCCAUCAGCUCCAGAUGCUGAGAGAAGCCAUGAACAAAGGCUGCUACCUGCUUGAUAAUUUCACAUACCGGAUGCUGCAGCAGGAGAGUUCCAAUGUUCAGGUUAGCGACCACCCCUUUCCCCUGUCCAAAUUCAAUCCAGCAAAGGGCCUGCGCUUCUCUACCAGGAGGAUGAUCGUUGCAUUUCAAGGUGAUGGGGCGAAGGAGGUUCAGAAGAUGCUAGGAAGCUUGCAUAGCAUAAUCAGCGAUAUGGCAGAGUUCAUCAUCUUCUUGAAAUCAUAUCCUCCCAUAAGCCGUGAGCCUUAUAGCAAGCACUUGUUUCUGGAGAACUGCAUGUUUGGCCGCCAGACAGAGCUGGAGAAGAUCAUCAGUUUCUUGUUGCAGCCAGAGCCUCCAGGCACAGAAAGAUUGCAAGUGUUACCCGUAACUGGUCCACCGAGAGUUGGUAAAAGCACCCUUGUUGAACAUGUAUGUUAUGAUGAGAGGGUGCGCAAUCACUUUUCCACAAUUAUUCUAUGUAGAGAUCCUACUGCUCCAGAAGGCAGUGGUGUGGUCAAGAAGCAAAGUCAUAGUUUACAUGGAAGAUCACUAAUUGUCAUGGAGCUUGCUGAUGAUUUGGUUGUAGAUGAAAGGCAAUGCAGAAACUUCUACUCUUCAAGAAACCACAUGUCACCUGGAAGUAAAGUUAUUGUGACAAGCAGAUCAGAGAAUAUAAUGAAACUUGGUACUACAGCAGCUCUUAAGUUGGAUUUUUUAUCUCAGGAAGCUUACUGGUACUUCUUCAAAGUGAUGGCUUUUGGAAGCACAAAUCCUGAUGACCACCCAGCGCUAGCAUCAAUAGCUAUGGAAAUUGCAGCAGGGCUUCAAGGAGGUUUCUUGGGUGCACAUGCCAUCUGCGGCUUUCUAAGAGCUAAUAUCCACAAUUGGUUUUGGAACAUGAUCCUUGAAUGUCAGAGAAACAAUAUAGAGAGGAAUAUCCUCAUCUUUGGUGAACAUCCACAGUCUCUUCUUUGGAAGAGCCAGAUUGCAUAUGUUUGGACUCUGUCCAACAUUUCCGUGAGGGUCAAAGUUCUUCAUUUUCAAACACGUUCCCCUCUGAAUGAUGUUCCGAAAAUAAGGUUGCAUGAAGUCCACACAAGUGCAAAAGCUCAUGGGAAGCUGGACGUCCUGGUGUGGAAAUCGGGCAUACCCCCAUAUCACAGCUACAUUAUGAAGUGUGAGAUUGAGGCACCAGAAGACAUGAUGGUCAAGAAGAAGCGCCCUCCUUCUUAUCUGCAAAUAUGAACAUUUCCUUGAUGUUGAAUUCAUUGGCUGUUUUCAUCGUUGAGAUCAAAUAUCAAAUGUGAAGGGUGACGUUCAAAUACACCACUAGUGAACAAAUCUAUCUGUUUCUUACAGUGAUCUCUUCUCCAUAUUUUUUCUAUAAAUUAAAGUGCAAGCUCUGCUCUUGUAAAUGCUUUGUUGUUGAGUUGUUGUAAAAUGCAAGCUCUGACAUUCCUUUGUAGUUAGUACAUAUCAUUCAGCCUGUGUGCAGACAUACUUUAUAUUUCCUGUACCCAGUAGUUUGUAAUCAGGGUGACAAGACUCUGACUGGUGGAGAAUAUCAUUAUAUUCACACAUAUUUAAAAAACUCGAACCUGAACCUGCUGUAUGCUAUUCAUGUGCUCUAACCAUUGGACUAGAUAUCUUUUUGCCGCUCCUUAUUUUGUGGACGGAGGUAGUAGAAAUGUACGAUAUGAUCUCAAAAUAUAUAUAAAAAAGGCAUUGUGGGAUUGUUUAUAUUCACUAAGGUCUGUAUUACUGCCUGCAGAAUUUCUGCUUUCCAAACAUGGCCUUCAUUUGGCCCACUAGAAACUAUAUAAUGUUCUAUCUUCCCUGCUCACAUUGUCAUAACUCAGAGCAAAUCGCCCCUAAGCUACAACACUCGUUCCUUCAUUCAUCAUUUUAUUCAUUAACGCAUAUCAAAUUUUUAAAUUUACUCUAGAAUUCUGGAUCUUUAAUUGGACAAUGGAAAAAGGGAAAAACUGUUUUAUUUAAUAUAUGCAUAAAAAAUCACAAUAAAAAAGAUAGGUGGAAUGCACCUGCGGUAGUCACUCUGGUUAUUUACAUUUUGUUCACCCUCUAUUUAACAAAACAACAUACUGUUCACCAGGGGAAUCAUAUCUAAAUUCUAAUGGUCCAAUCCAUGUGCACACCACUUGCCACAUCUCAAGUAAAAUUGCGACUAAGCUAUAGCACUCUGCAUUCGUUGGUUUAUUUAUUUAUGGUUUGUAUCUGGUAGAAAAUAUUAUAACAUCCCAAAGGUAAAGGUAUGAAACUGGAUUAGCUUAUCUGCACAUCCAAUAAACUCUAGAAUUUGGAUAUGUAAUUCAACAAUGGGAAAUAAGAACACUAUUUCCUUUAAUCUUUGUAAAAAGAAAAUUCAAUAAGAAUGACCAACCAAGCACAAAACCGGAGAAUCGUAAUCUUCUGUACCGUACCAGCAGUUUUCCAUAACAAUUCCCAUUUUCCUUUAAGACUUUUUUGGUUAUGUACUUUGCAUGACAUUAGACCAAAGAACCAUCUUUUCUAGACCGAACACUGAAUCUGUCUAACUAUCUACAGCUUGCUGUUGUCUAGUCAAUUUUGAGAAAGCCCAUUGCUUCGUCCCAACCUUCAAAGUCUCAACGACAACACUACAGGUCUACAGCAGAUGGCUGCUACGCUCAGUCACAACUCACAACGCGUUCAACCUAAUCAGCAUAUGCGUUCGACCAGAAUUAAUCGAAACCUGCAACAUUUGGGCCGCAACACUGAAUCUAACUAUCUACAUCGAAGCACUGAGAUACAACAUGCUCAAAGAAGGAUGGGAUUAACAGCUUACCAUGGCAUCGGCGGCAGAGGGCAGGCGUGCCGUGGGAGGGCGCGCGCGCAGCGGUCAGGAUCUCUGCGUGCUGCGGCAUCCACUGAUGCCGUCGCCCUCGUGGGCAUCCGCGGGACAUGACGGAUCGGGAAUAGGUUGGGAGCUUGACUGGGAAGCAGACAACGAGUCAGAAAAUCAGGGCAACCGUCGCGGGAGACAUGGGCCUUCGAUGGGCCGAUGUGGUCCGAUCAGCCGAAUGCAUCCAUGCACGGAAAUCCUAUGCAUCUUCCGCAACAUAGCCCCCUCAAAAAAAUAAAAAUAAAAUAAAAUCUUCCGCAACAUAAAAACUUAUGGAUCUACGAGCGUUUGAGAUUCGUGUUGCAAGUGUGGUCGGAUGGAUUCACGCAGAGAAGCGCCAAGCAUGUACUCAUGCAACAGGCACGGCAUGUGCACACACGUGGUGGGCAACUGUUGGUUGCCAAAUGGGUGGCAGGUGGGCAGCGUUACUUCAAUUUCAAGAUUAGUUAUUUAUCUCUUAAACAGCUUAUCAUUUGUCGAAUCAGUCUGAACCACGAGAUUAUUUAGAAUUAAUGUAACAAAAUGAGGUCUGCAUAUUUUUUAAUGAAAAAUAAAUAUUUCAACAUUUGCAUGAACCAUUUCAACAUUUACAUUGACUGUUUCAACAUUUUUAUGUUGUUUAAACAUUUUUUCUAUAUCACCUUAACAUUUAAUUUUUUAUAUUGUUUCAACAUUUUUUCUAUAUCACCUCAGCAUUUACAUAAAAAUGUUGAAACAUUUUUUUUUCAAAAACGUUGAAUUUGAUCUUAAGAAAUGUUGAAUAUGAUAUUUUCCAGCAUUUUUCAUAAAUGCUAUUUGCAUGAACCAUUUCAACAUUUACACUAACUGUUUCAACAUUUUUAUUUUGUUUAAAUAUUUUUUCUAUAUUACCUUAACAUUUAGUUUUCUAUAUUGUUUCAACAAUUUUUUCUAUAUCACCUCAACAUUACAUAAAAAUGUUGAAUUUUUUUUCAAAAUUGUUGAAUUAGAUCUUAAGAAAUGUUGAAUAUGAUAUUUUCCAACAUUUUUCAUAAAUAUUGUUUGCAUGAACCAUUUCAACAUUUAGACUAAUUGUUUCAACAUUUUUAUAUUUCAACAUUUUUUUAUAUUACCUCAACAUUUAACUUUUUAUAUUGUUUCGACAUUUUUUCCAUAUUACCUCAACAUUUAAUGUUGAAACAGUUUUUUGCAAAGAUGUUGAAUUAGAUCGAAUAUGAUAUUUUUCAACAUUUUUCACAAAUGUUGAGGUAGUUUUUCUAAUUUUUGAACGGUGUUUCAAGAAUCGUUGAAUCUAAUUAUUCAAAAUGUUGAAAGCAUGAAAGUACAAAAUAGUAACUUAUAAUCACAAAGAUUAAAACAAAUAGGAUAAAACGAGCGGAAGAAUGUUGUUGUAGUGGUCCAUUCGUACUUCGUAGUAGAUACAGAUUAAAAAAGUGAGGACAGCAUAUUUAAUACUUGCUGCGCGUGGCAAGCUACUGCCUCCGGUGGUUCUCGCGCUAGUUUUCCACGAAAAAAAAAAGUAGAGGGCCGUCCUUGACGCAGAGUAUUAGGCCGUGGUGGGCUGUGCGACAAUUAGCUUACCCAUCUUCCGGAGAUAGGAGCGCCCAUCACUUUUUUCAGCUAGAAAAACAACAAUUCCCAUUUUUAUCCGCACUUAUACAUCAUGCUUCAUUUUGGAAUAUGAACGAUAUAUGGUGCCAAACAUCGUAACGUUUCCCAUGAUUAAUCAUGUUUUCUCUUUAAAAGGGAGAUCAGGAGAAAUGAUCCUCUCACGUUACAUUCGCUGGUCCCUCAUACAAAAAUUCCAGUAAACAACUUAACAUAAUUUAUCUUUUUUUCUCUCCAUGCACCAGUGGAGUUUUGAGUUCAAAUUUUGCAAGAUGAUAGUAGACAACAAAAUACAUGUUAAAAAAAUAUAUCAUGAACUUUUUCAUCACUAUUUUGAUAGGAUAGGAUAUUUAAUAAUAAAAUUUAUCUUUGAGAUACAAAAAUAUAUAAAAAAUAAUGAUGAAAAUUCAUAAAAUAUUUUUUAAUAUAGAUUAUGAUGUCACCAGUCUACAAAGUUUCAAAUUAAAAUUCAACUUGUGUAUGGAGAAACAAAAAUGACAAAUUGCAUUAUGGGGUAAGUUGAACCAAAUAGCAUAGUUUAGGGAGUAAAUUGAACAAAAUAUAGUUUCGGGGGUUAUCUGGACUUUCAUUGUUUUUUUUUAAACGAACCUGGCAGGAGAGUUGCCGAUUAUAUUAAAAAGAAGGAAUCCAGACUGGAUAAAUACAAUGGAUCAAAAAUGAAAUGAGGCAAAAUUGAGCCAGGAAAAUAAAACAACACUAUAAACUCAGUCGCAAUCAGCAUCGCGUCAGUAGAGCGGAGAGAUGUUUCGCUCCCGCCAUAAUCCACACGGUGGACUUUCAUUGUUUGUACUGAAAGCGAGUAAUUUGGACUUUUUCAAAAAAAAAAGAACAGUGCCACAGUGGAAGAAAUUUCUGCUCUACAUAGCAGCUGGGCAAGCGCACUCCGUCAUCUAAGAAAAAUGGGUGCAGUGCGUCAACAGCCUUGUAGCUAGUCUUGCAGCAAAGCAGCCUGUGUGACUGCCUCAGCUCAUAUAAGUAGCGAUCAACAAUGAACUCGAUCAAGAACUCAUAUCGAUCAAACAUCCUUCAAUCCUCCGUUGCAGAAGUUUCCUAAUGGAGACAUUCGUUUCUGCAGUUCUUGGCGAUCUCAUCAAGUCAUCAGCAGAUCAGUAUCCUUCAUCGACAGGCGCAACCGGCGGCAGAAGGAUGUGGCGGAGAACCUACUGCAGCUGAACCGCGUCCUGCAACGGGUACAGGUCACAGUUGAGGAGUCCGAGGGGAGGCACAUCAGUAACCAAGCGAUGCUGCAGCAACUUCAGAUGUUGAGAGUGACGAUGUGCGAAGGCAGCUACCUACUGGAUACUCCUGGGUUGCGUUCUAAAUUGAAAGUCAUUCCAAUUUUCAGAGAGUCAAAUUAUUUUAUGUUAAACAUUUAUAGCACCGAAUUGAAUAGAUAUACUUUACGGUACUUAUUUGGUAUCAUGAAUGUUAAUACUGUUAUGAACGACGUAUAGGAAUAUGAAGUAAAGAAUCAAGCCACAGAGGAGACACACGAUUUAACGUGGAAAACUCCUUCGAUGUGAAGGGGAAAAACCACGGGCACCAGCCAGCAACAAUCUCACUAUCUCAAAAGUUUCGAGUUACACGCCUAUGGUGGCUUACAAGAGAAUCAAGUCUCCACGAAACCCUAGCAAGGGUGUAUAUGCCGUACCGUACCGCGGGGGGCUCCGCCCCCCGCACCCCCCCCCCCCCCCCCGAGCACAGACUACGCUACGGCCCAAGCCUCCGGCGACGGACCUCCACUCCGUCAGAAGCCCGCCCUAUAUCCUGGAGUGAAUUUGGAACAACUCUAAUAAAUACUUUAUUGUAUAUAAAUUUGGUCAAACUUAAGAUGCUUUAACUUUCCAAGAAAGUUAGAAUUACUUAGAACGAGAGUACUUUUAUGUACCGGAUGCUGCAGCAACAUAGAAGCAGUGAUCGUACCUUUUCCCUGUCCACAUUGAGUCCAGCCAAGCGCUUGCGCUUCUCUACCAGGAGGAACAACGUUAAAGUCAUAAUUGUGAUUCAUAUAUUUGUUAUGCCAAAAAAAAUUUGUUUUGAGGAACACAUAAUUGUGAUUCAUAUAUUUGCUAUGCCAAAAAACAAUUUAUUUUGAGGAACACAUAAUUGUGGUAUUAUUAUUCGUGAUAUCUUAAAUUCUAAAUCGUUCUCACACAUAUCAUAAAGUCAUAUUUGUGUUACCUCCAAUUCAGAAUACUUGUUAUUUUAUAAAGAGAUAAUCAAAAUAACCAUCUUAUCUUCAAUUAAUAUUAUCUAAAGUAUGUAUUUAUGUGAGAAUAAUUAGUUAAUGGUGUAAUUAGAAAAAAACUGAAAACAAGUUGAUUAAAGUUUUCUAGAAGUUGUAGAAUAACAAGUGUUUUAAAGACAAUAAAGAAGGCUAAAACAACAAGAAUCAGAGGAGGUACGUGCCUGCCUUUUCUAUUCUUAGUCCGAACUUAUUCAAGUAGAAACUGCAUAGCACAUGCCUUCUCAUUGACUAAUCGUCUAAUUAAUUCACACGGCAACAACUGAAAGAAACAUGCUUGGAAAUUCAUAGAUGACAGUGCCAUCGUGGAAACAGUUGCUUCUAGAUAUCUGCCAUGCAUACCAAAUGCAACAAGUGAACAACAAAGGGAACUUAGAGUCCCUGAUCUUGCAGCACUUCAACUUGUCUGCCAAUCUCAGCUUAGAAACCAGCGACGGACGGGCUAGACAAGAACUCAAACCAAAUCACCGUUCUUCGAUCUUCCCCUCCUAAAGGUUCACAAUGGAAAAAUUCGUUUCCGCUGUUCUCGGCGAUCUCGUCAGUCGAUCGGUCUCCUUCGUUGUCAACACCUGCUACCGUCAGAAGGGUGUGGAGGAGUACCUACCACGGCUGCGCGGGGUGCUGCUGCAAAUCCAGGCCACCGUGGAGGAAGCCGAGGGCAGGCACAUCACGAACCAAGCGAUGCUCCGGCAGCUCCAGAUGCUAAGAGAAGCCAUGUACAAAGGCUGCUAUCUUCUUGAUAAUUUCACAUACCGGAUGCUGCAUCAAAAGAGGAACAAUGAUCAGGUUAGUGGCCACCCCUUCGCCUUGUCAAUACAUAGUCCAGCCAAGCGCUUGUGCUCCUCUACCAGGAGGAUGGGAGUGGAAUUUCAAGGCGAUGGGUUGGAGGAGCUGCAGGAGAUGCUACGAAGCCUGCAUAGCAUCAUGGAUGAUAUGUCAGAGUUCAUCAUAUUCUUGAAAUCCUAUCCUCACAUCAGCCGUGAGCCUUACAGCGAGUACUUGUUCAUGGAGAAGUGCAUGUUUGGCCGCCAAGCAGAGAUGGACAAGAUCAUGGGCUUCUUGUUAAAGCCAGAGCCUCCAGGAGCUCAGGGUUUGCAAGUGCUUCCUAUUAUUGGCCCACCAAGAGUUGGGAAAAGCACUCUCGUUGAGCAUGUCUGUUAUGAUGAGAGGGUGCGCAACCACUUCUCUUCGAUCAUUCUAUGCAGUGGAGAUCCUACUGCUGCUCCAAAAGGCAUGAGUGGUAUAGUGAAGAAGCAAACCCAUGGUUCACAUGGAAGGUCACUUGUUGUCAUGGAGCUUGCUGAUGGGUUAGUUAUAGAUGAGAGGGAAUGCAGAAAGUUAUACUCUUCAGCGAGCCACAUGCCACCAGGAAGUAAAGUUAUUGUCACAAGUAGAUCAGACAAUAUCUUAAAACUUGGAACUACGGGAGCUAUUAGAUUGGAUUUUUUGUCUCAGGAAGCCUACUGGUAUUUCUUCAAGGUGAUAGCUUUUGGAAGCACAAACCCUGAUGACCAUCCGGAGCUAGCAUCAAUAGCUAUGGAAAUCGCAGAAGAGCUAGAUAGGUCUUUCUUGAGCGCAAACCUUUAUGGUGGAUUUCUGAGAGGUAACAUGGACAGCCGGUUUUGGCGCAGAAUCCUUGAAUUGGAGAGAACCCAUGUAGAAAGGAGUAUCAUCCACUUUGGUGAACGCCCACAGACUCUUCUUCGGAAAAACCAGGCUGCAUAUGUUUGGAGUCUGCCCAACAUUUCCAUGAGGCUCAAAGUUCUUUAUUGUCAAAAAAAUUGUCUUCAGAGCGAAGUUCCAAAGACAAAGUUGCACGAAGUCCAAACUAGAAGCGCAGAAUCCUAUGGGAGACUGGAAGUGCUGGUGUGGAAAUCACGCAUACCCCCGUACCACAGCUGCACAAUGAUCUGUGAGAUGGAGGCACCCCCACACAUGAUGGGCAAGAAGAAGCGGUCUCGCUCCAUGGUGUGAUUCUGUUCAUGUCCAGAUAAAAACUCAUCCUUGUUGUUCCAUCCAUUGGCAUCUUGCGUCGUUGCGAUGAAAUGGUGUGAAAGGCGAUAUGCAAAUAUAUAUCCCAAGAGUGAUCAAAUAUAUCUUUUUCUUACAGCGAGCUGUUUUCUGUAUUUUCUAUCAAAUAGCAUGGAUGUCUGUUAUUCCUUUGAUAGUUCAGGGUCUAUGCGUAAACAUGCAUUUUGCCCUCUGUACACAACAGUUUGCAAUCUAGGUAACAAGGAUCAUAGGGGGAAGAUCAGUAUAUUCAAGUGACCGCUGAAGUGCAGUGCACAAAUGCAUGAUUCGACCUCCAAAAAUACCAACAAAGUGCAUUGAAGGCUUGUUUUGGGAAAAAAAAUCAUGGUUACCAAAUACGGCCUUAAUUUCUUCCAGCAGAAUCUGUCUAAUAUGUAUCUUCCACGCUUUGAACUUCUCAUAAACCGAGUGCCAACAGGCCCCCUAAAGCUUCAGCACUCAGUCCUGCCAUUAUUCAUCAUUUUGUUCAUUAUUGGCUUGCAUCUGGUAUGAAUUGUUCUAGUAGUCUAAUUUACUCUAGUAUCUGCAAGUAGAGAUUAGCUUUAUUCUAGAAUCCAGGAACUCUUUAUAUACUGGAGGCAGUUGCAGUACAAGCCUAGCUAGCAAUCUUUCUUAUAUAUCUUAAACAGAGGAGCUGGAGAUGCUAUCCUCCAAGUGGACGUUCUUUACUGGAUCCAUCAUUCUUCCUCUCUUCUUCUUCCAAUAUGUUUCUCCAUGGUGUUCAUGGCCGUGAAAACUGAGAAGCUCCUAUUCCUGCCGCUUGCACCUGUACCUGACAGAUGUCCCACCAUCUGCAAUGAGUCCAUCUUUUCACUCCCUCGCCACCAACAGCAUCCGCUAGCGAUCCACCACCAUUAGUGUCCAUCAGCAUACUGCCGUCUCACCACAUCACUCACUCCCGUGCCCGCUCCUUCCGCUGGGUAUGCCCGCCUCUUAGAAGGCGAACAAGUUGCUACAGUACUUACCAUGGAAAUACAAUCCACAAUAGAAGUAUGAAUAGAAUUAUACUUAUACCGUGGCCUUCAGUAAAUCGUCCAUGGGACAUCUGAAAAAUAUAUCAAGGGGCAAAUAUGUACUACCUCCCAUGAACCAUGAAUAAAAGGGUAGACCCCCAAUCAUUCAAACAAUCUCGCUUUCAUGUCUUCCCAGUUCCCACUCUCACGGCUCCUCCACUUCAAGCUUGACUUCUCCACACAGAGCUCGCGCCGCACACUGUUUGGGUAAGGAAUUUCUUACCCCAACAGCUAGAGCUUUUUUCUUCCUGAACCGAACGUUUGAACUGGCUCCGGCUGUAUCAUCAUUAUCUUGCUAGUCGCUACUCCCUCCGUUUCAAAUUGUAGGUCGUUUUAGUUUUCUAGAUUCAUAGAUAUUUGUAUGCACAUAUAUUAUAUUUAGGUGUAUAAUAAAAACUAUGCAUCUAAAAUCUAAAAAAGCCAUGACGAUCCAUAAUUUGAGACGGAGGAAGUACUUUCCAAACGUCCGAGUUCAAGACACGUGUUCAUGUGACUUGGUGCUUGGAAUCCCAGUUGCAUUUUGGAUGUUGCCUAACGAAAAUACAGACAAGCCUUCAAUUUCAAAGUCACCGAGUCCAUGCUUCAACUUUUGCAAGUUCUCGAAGCAAGCAGAGAAAAGACAACAGGACAUAUCACUGUGCAGCCCCUCCGUCGUCAAGUUCAAAGUCAUUGGUAACCUGAAAGGAGCGCUGAAAAUUCAAAGCCACUCCAGCGUUCUAGCUGUUUCAGCAAGCGUGUUUCACUCACCAGCGUUCGCAAUGGAGGCCCUCGUUUCUGCGGUCCUCGGUGACCUCAUCAGCCGAUCCAUAUCCUUCGCCGUGGACAGGUGCUGCCACCGGCGGCGCAAGGGCGGCAUAGAGGACUCCCCGCUCCGUCUGCGCCGCGUGCUUCUACGAGUCCAGGCCGUCGUCGAGGAGGCCGACCGGCGGCGGGUCACCAACCAGGCGAUGCUCCGGCAGCUUCAGCUGAUGAGGGAAGGCGUGUACAGGGGCUACUACCUCCUCAGCGCCUUCAAGAGCCAAGGCGCUAUGCAAGGCAAGACCCAACAAGAUCGCGAGGUCAGUCACUCAUCGUCGUCGUUCGCCUUGUCCCAGUUCAAUCCGGCGAAGCGCCUGUGUACUGUCUCCGCCAGGACGACGACGGCGAACGUGGCAUCUGACGACACCAGACGCGAGGGGGAUGCGGAGGCGGAGCUGCGAGAGGUCCUCACCAGCCUAGAGCGCAUGGCCAACGACAUGAAGGAGCUCGUCGUGUUCUUGAGCUGCUACCCUCCCACGCGCCGCGAGCCUUACAGCGGGCACCUGUGGUUGGAGAACCGCAUGUUCGGGCGCGAGGCAGAGCAGGAGAGGAUCAUGAGCUUCUUGCUGGAAACAGAGCCGCCUGUGGGCACAGAAGAUCUGGGCGUUCUUCCGGUGAUCGGUCGAGCAAGAGUUGGCAAGAGCACCCUCGUCGAGCACGUCUGCUUGGACGAGAGGGUGCGCAAGCACUUCUCCUUGAUCGUAUUCCUCGGCGAAGGCGACAUCGAGGAUGGAAACCUAUCAUCGCCUCAUCAACUGGGAGACAACGGCAUAAUCAAGCAUCGGCAUCUCAAUUCGUCGGCCGGAAAAUCACUGGUUGUUAUUGAGCUUGAUGGCGACGACGUGGAUGAGAGCACGCUGGGAAGAAUUCUCUCCGCACUGAGGCGAGAACGCACCGCACCUGUCAGGAAAAUACUUGUUACAAGCCGGUCAGAGAAGAUUGCAAGUUUUGGGACAACACGAGCUCUGGAGCUGAAACCAUUGCCUCGAGAAGCCUACUGGUACUUCUUCAAGACGAUCGCGUUUGGGAGCACGGAUGCCGGAGAUCAGCCGGAGUUAGCAUCCGUAUGCAUGGAGAUCGCGGGCCUGUUGAACAGAUCAUUCAUAGCGGCAAAUUUGAUUGGUGGCUUACUGAGAGCCAAUCCUUGUUCUCAGUUUUGGCGAAAAGUUCUCAAAGGCUACAGAGAUAACACAAGCAUGCACCUGCUUCUGUUUGGUGAGCAUCAAUCCGACCUCCUAGCGAAAGAUCGGCCAGUAUACUUUUGGAGAUUAGUACCCAAGACUCAGUCUAUCCUCAUAGUCUACAGUUGUUACCAAGUGUGUUCACCCCGGAAACAUGGUCUGCCUAAGAUAACCGCGAACGAUGUUCAAAUUGGAAGAGCAAGGCCUCGAGGGAAGUUUGAAGUCCUGGCAUGGAGAUCUCACAUACCACCCUACUAUAGCUACAUGUUGAGCUCCGAGGAGCGAACAUCGUCGUCUGCACUACGCAUACCGGCCCGAAAUAAGCAAAUCCGGCAGCAGUAGGCAGUAGAAGACUCAAUUUGAUGUGAAUAUUAUGUUCAUAUUUGUAUUACUUGGCACUGUACAAUGUUUUAUCCAUUAAGUAGCAUUAGCACACCAUGGAGGUGUUUUGCCUUGUGAUCAUGCGUGCUCGUCUGUAGCAGAUUAAUUAUUGCAACUUGGGGUAAUCCGUAAUCCAUUAAGUAGGAGACUCUUAUUUUUGUGGGGUAAUUCCAAACAGAGGAACUAACUACUGAGUACUGAGGCGUGGCUGUAGCUUGCUAGAAAAUUCAAAUCAAAAGACCCUUAAAUCAUAAUAAUCUACCCUUUUUACAACCACGUGUCUGACAACAAGAACAGAAAUUGUUGUAUGAAGUCCACUUGGAUUGGAAUUUCAGAAACGCUUGACUGACCUACGAAUCAACUACGCGCAGAAGCAAAGACUUGUGCACCUGAAGUUGACCACUCCUUGUCCCGUUCUCCUCUCCUGUCCACUUUCCACCUUCAACCUGUGGAGUUGCUUCUUUCUGCAGUCGCAUCUGAUCUCCUCGGCAGAGCCCUCUCCAAAGUCUCCAUCGUGAUCCAGAGGUGCAGACGGUUUUAGGCAGAAGAGUCAGCAGCACAAGCUCCAGCAGCAGCCAGUUACAUUUGCAUUUCGCUGCUUUUCUUUUCAACGUUGCAGGCAGACAUGAGCAGAAGCAAAGACUUGUGCAUAUGAAGUUAACCGCUCAUUGCCCCGUUCUCUGUUCUAUUCUCCAUUGUACCCACCACCAAAUCUUCUCUCGUGGUGUCUAGCAAUGGAGCCCCUUCUCUCCGCGAUCAUAAGCGAUCUCCUGAGCAGAGCACUAUCCAUGCUGAUACAGAGGUAUAGGCGAUCCAAGGCAGAAGAGACAGAGCACAAGCUCCAGCGGCUGCAGCGCGUGCUGCUCCGGGUUGAUGCCAUGGUGGAGGAGGCCGAGGAGCGGCACAUCACCAACCAGGCGAUGCUCCGGCAGCUUGACAUGCUCAGGCAAGGCAUGUACGGCGGCCACUGCAUGCUAGAUACCUUCAGGUACAGAGUCCAUGGACAUGGAGACGACGACGAGGUGAGUGGCGACGGCGAUGUUGUCUUGUCUCGAUUUAGUUCAGCCAAGCGUUUCCUCUCCUUCCCCGGAAGCAGCAGCAAGGAGCAGAGCACCGUGAUUGACGCUGAAAACCUGAAGAACCUGGAGAAGAUGCUCGACGGCCUCGAGACGCUGAUGGGCGACAUGGUGGAGUUCGCCGUGUUCUUGGAGGGAUACCCUCGCAUCUGCCGGCAGCCGUACAGCGAAUACCUGGUCCUCGACAGGGUCAUGUUCGGAAGGCAGAUGGAGAAGGAGACGGUCAUCAAUUUCCUGCUCCGGCCAGAAGCUACGGGCGACGGAAAUCCAGGGGUGCUUCGAAUCGUCGGCGCGGCGAGGGUCGGCAAGAGCACCCUCGUUGAGCACGUCUGCCUCGACGAAAGGGUGCGUGGUUAUUUCUCCUCCAUCGUCUUCUUCACCGGAGACGAUCUUGGUGCUGACAACAUGGCUGCUCUGGGACGAAGUGGUGUGAUCAAGCAUCAGGAUCUUACUGCCUCCUCCUCGUGUGGGAGAUCACUUGUUGUCAUUGAGCUAACCGGGGCCAUGGAAGAGGAGACAUGGAGGAAUUUGUACUGCUCUGCUGCAAGAAGCAUGGGGAACGGGGACAAGAUCAUAAUCACAAGCCGGUCAGAGAAGAUAGCAGCUCUUGGCACAACGCAAGCUCUCAGACUGAAGCUUCUACCUCAAGAAGCUUACUGGUACUUCUUCAAGGUGCUCGCGUUCGGGAGCGCAAACCCUGACGAUCACCCGAAGCUCGCUUCGCUAGGCAUGGAGAUUGCAACGCUGAUGAACGGUUCGUUCUUGGGAGCAAACAUAGUGGGAAGUUUGAUAAGGGCCAACCUGAACGUUCAGUUCUGGCGCAGGGUGCUUCAUUGCGUGAGAGAUUUCUUAAGCAAGCACCUUCUCACAUUCGGUAUGGACCCGACAGAUCUUUUGGAGAAUGGAUAUCCAUUGUAUGCUUGGAGUAUGGCCAGGAGCCGAAAUGUCGUUGUGAUCCACAAAAUUUAUCAGAAGCGUACUACCCAGAAUGGUGUCCCGAAGCUCACAGCACAUGACAUCAUAGCAGGGCGUGCCACACAUAAGGGGAAGUUCAGAGCAGUUGGAUGGAGGUCCAGCGUACCUCCUUACUACACCUACGUGUUCAAUUGUGUGUCACAAACGGCCGGAUGCUCCACGGCCAGAAAGAAGCGCCCUCGGCAGGUGGUGGUUUGAUAGUCCUAUACCCAUGUGUAAUACUCAGCUGUAUGUAAACUAGCACGGUGAUCUCUUCAAAUAGCACGGUGACCAAGUAUAGGCUAACAUUUAUGUAAUUAUCACCUAUCUAUAAAAAUUGAACCUAUCAAGUGUAUGAUACAUGCUGGAAAAAUAUACGUCACAAUUCAUCUAUAUCACGUUAUGAAAAACAAAACAUAUUACAACAUAACCAUAUCAUGUUAAGAUUUUCUUUAACUACUCAUCCAUGUCACGUUAGAGGAUAAAUCGUCACGCUUAAACAGACAUGUCACGCGAGGAAAAACAUGUUACAUCUGUAGCACAUUGUCACAGCUAAUGGAUUGUCACGUGUUACAUAUUGUUUGAUCUAAUAGGGUUAUGCAUGGAAGUUAGAUCUAACAGGAAGAAAUAUUUUUCCUAUUUUCAAAAUUAAAAAUAUAUAAAUAAUAUUUAAUUUAUUACCUCCUAGGUAAUUAGCCGGCCAUAUCCGGCUAAACGGACGGUCCACAGUCAUUUUGGAGUACCGUAGCAAAGCCCUUUCUACUAAACACAAUGCUCAAACUAUAUGUUUAAUUAAACAUAUGUCAAACACAUAUGAAGGAGGUGUGAUGCAAAGUGAAAAGUAUGAACGUGGAUGAAAUGUGGAUGAAAAUGUGUAUAGAGUAAUUGUUACCUACUAAAAUCUAACUGGUAAACGGAAUCAGUGACCCGUGUGUCAUAUCAUUGUCUUACUAACAUUUUACCUCUGAAUCGUCAUAAUGUCUUUAUACCCGCUUUGAUCCUUUAUUUAUCUUUUUUUAUUUGAAGUUAUGUGUCAUGGUAAUACCAAGGCCAGGAGUGUUUCAAAGUCUCUGUAUCAUGUUAAUGCAACGAUCUUAAAGCUUUCUUUAUUGGACAAAAGAAGUGCAUUUUUCUUUACCCUGUCUUCUACGCAUGUUCUCCGGAGCCGAGUCAAAUCUGCGGAUCAGCAACCCCUCUCUAACGCGUAAAAUGGACUGCCAGAUGGAACCAUACACUAAAUUCAGUGAUGUUACCAUCAGUUCAUCACCCAUGACCAUGACCUAGUAUGAGCCUCGUGGAGAGUCAUUUUCUUUUUUGGUCCAUUCAUACUGUAAUGUCCACAAAUUUUCUGUCCUCCAUUUCGAAGUCAAGUCAACAGCGUGCACCAACCUUGGACUGCUGACAUGAGACAUGAGAGGAUGCUUGCAAUGGAGAAACUUCUCUCCAUUGCGCCAUGAACCUUCUCCUUGCCGCGAUCUCCAUUUCACCACAAACCUUUUCCUUGAGAGAAUCCUUGCAAUGGAGGCCAUUCUUUCUGCGAUCAUGAGCAACCUCCUGAGCAGAGCCCUAUCCAUGGUGAUCCAGAGGUACAAGAGGUCAGAAGAGGCAGAGCACAAGAUCCAGCGGCUGCAGCGCGUGCUGCUCCGGGUCGACUCAAUGGUGGAGGAGGCCGAGGGGCGGCACAUCACCAAUCAGGCGAUGAUCCGGCAGCUUGAGAUGCUCAGGCAAGGCAUGUACGGGGGUCACUACAUGCUCGACACCGUCAAUUACAGAGGCCAUGACGAGGUGAGUGGUGGCCUCCCUGUUGCCCUGCCUAGAUUCAGUUCAGCCAAGCGGCUCCCCUCCUUUCCCGGCAGCAGCAGCAGCAAUGGAAACCGGCAGAACACCGAGAGCCUGAAGAAUCUGGAGAAGAUGCUCGACGGCCUCGAGACGUUGGUGGGCGACAUGCUGGAAUUCGCCGUGUUCUCGCGGGGAUACCCUCGCAUAUGCCGGCAGCCGUACGGCACGUACUUGAUUCUUGGCAACGUAAUGUUCGGCCGGCAGAUGGAGAUGGAGACGGUCAUCAACUUCCUGCUCCGGCCAGAAUCCCCCGCUGGCAAUGAAAACCCCGGCGUGCUUCCGAUCGUCGGCGCGGCGAGGAUCGGUAAGAGCACGCUUGUUGAGCAUGUCUGCCUUGAUGGCAGGGUGCGCAGCUACUUCUCAUCCAUUGUUCUCUUCACCGGAGAAGACCUGGGUGCUUUCAGAGGCAGUGCUGUGAUCAAGCACCAAGAUGUCACUGCUCCUUCACAUGGGAGGUCACUUGCCGUCAUCGAGCUAGCUGGGGACAUCGACGAGGCGGCAUGGAGGAGGCUGUACUACUCGGCAGCAAGCAGCAUGGGGCAUGGGAGCAAGAUUGUAAUCACAAGCAGAUCAGAGGAGGUAGUUGCUCUUGGAACAACCGAGGCUCUCAGACUGAAGGGUCUGCCGCAAGAAGCUUACUGGUACUUCUUCAAGGCGCUCGCAUUCGGAAGCGCGAACCCCGAUGACCAACCAAAGCUCGCAUCCCUGGCCAUGGAGAUCGCGGAGCUGCUGAACGGUGCGUUCUUGGCAGGAAACAUAGUGGCAAGCUUGAUGAGAGCCAAUCUGAACGCCGAGUUCUGGCUCAGGAUGCUUCAGUGCUUGAGAGGCUGCGCAAGGAAGCACCUGCUCAUGUUUGGCAAGCAUCCUAACAGGCUCUUGCAGCAAGGGCGGUAUGUGUACACUUGGAGGAUGCCCAGGACUCGCGACGUAGUCACGGUAAUCUGCAACCCGUAUCAGAAGCCAUCUCCCCAGGACGAUGUCCCUGAGGUAACCGUACAAGAUAUUCUAUCAGGACGCUCUACGCGUCAGGGAAAUUUCAGUGUUGUGGCAUGGAGAUCAGUCGUUCCCCCCUACUACACCUACUUUGCAAGCUGCGCGUCGCAGACGGCCGGAUGCUCUACGGUCAACAAGAAGCGCCCACGGCAUGCCAUGGUGUGAUGUUACCUUUUUCUGGCAAUAUCACUCUUCAAAUACACACACUAACAGAGUUUAGCUGUAACCCUGUAAUGUAUGGCUUUGAUCAGAUUAUUCGCAUACAUAAGCGUAUUACUGUAUAUAAAAUGCUAGUAGUGUCCAGAUGCUAAGCUGAAAUCAUGUACGGUUUCGAUCAGGCUAUCUGCUUACAGAGUUACAGGAUGAGCCUUAGGCCCGUCCACACAGCAUAGCCACCAGAUUCACAGGCAAUGGCCAGUGGCCACCAUCUGAAAUCUUGAUGGUGCUUCAGCUCAAACAGCAUCUAGAUUCACCAGCAGCUGAACAGGGGACCUAGCUGCUGAACCUAAAGUCCUAAGGUCUUCACUCAGCAAAAAUCACAAUUCAGAUAGCAAUCACAAAGAUGGAACAAGGAAAAGCAAGAGGCAACGAAACAUUCAAGGAUUGCCGAUCUUCAACAAAAUGGUAAAGCUAGCCUACAAAAUUAGAGGCCAAUUCUGACAAACAACUCCGGUAUACAACAUCAAAUAACACACGGUGAAAAGAAGGCCACAUGAAACACCAUUAUUUGUUCUGGUUAAACCGUGGCACAAUAAUGUAACGUCGGCCAAAAUUUAAAGAUGACACCAGUAGACAAUGCAA